GACGAACGCUGGCGGCGUGCUUAACACAUGCAAGUCGAACGGAAAGGCCUGCUUUCCCUUGUGGAUUGCGGGUACUCGAGUGGCGAACGGGUGAGUAACACGUGAGUGAUCUGCCCCCAACUUGGGUAUAAGCCUGGGAAACUGGGUCUAAUUCCCGAUAGGACUGCAGGGUGGUGCCUGUGGUGGAAAACGAUUUUCUAGUGGUUGGGGAUGAGCUCGCGGCCUAUCAGCUUGUUGGUGGGGUAAUGGCCUACCAAGGCGGCGACGGGUAGCCGGCCUGAGAGGGUGGACGGCGACAUUGGGACUGGGAUACGGCCCAGACGCCUACGGGAGGCAGCAGUGGGGAAGAUAGGACAAGGGGCGGAAGCCUGAUGCAGCGACGCCGCGGGGGGGAUGACGGCCUUCGGGUUGUAAACUCCUUUCGACCGAGAGGAAGCCACCUGGUUGGAAGGGUGGUGACGGUAGUGGUAGAAGAAGCACCGGCUAACUACGUG
rnacentral:rRNA from 1 species